GUCUCCUCUCUUGUUGCUGUCGAGGAGAUAUUUUAGGAGGCUGGAGAGCACCAAGGAUCGCACCGUGGAGGAGCUGCCGCCGCCGGACCAGCACAGGCUUCCCGAAGAACUGCUGGACUUCAUUAAUAGGAGUGCGAGGAAGAUGCGGAGGGUCAGGAGGUCUCACAGACGUUGAUGCUAGGAGAUCACAUCAUCAUAAGAGGCCCCUCCCCCGCCCGCUGGAGAGCGUCCAAACCAUUCAACAACGUCGAAAGUCGCUUACUUCAAGAGGAAAUAUGCGGAGGAGGAGGUUUUGCACGGAGGCCUACGAGGAUAUUUUCAAAAACACCUGAUACUGCAGGAGGACAGGGGCUGCAUCCUCAAGUUGUCCCUGGAGAAGCUGAGGUUCCUGGAGGACCCUGAGGCCUACCUGCGGCGCUCCGUCCUCAUCAACAACUUGCUGAGGAAGAUCCACAGCGAGGAGGAGGAGGAUGUAGAGGAGGAAGAGGAGAUGGUGGACAGGAAGAGGGUGAAGGUAUUGGUCAGCGACCGCUGCUCUCCAUCGUUGAGCUUCAAGGAGCUGCAGCGUUACCGUCUGGUGCCGUGCUGUCCGUCGACGGGCUGCCUCUGCGGGCUGGACCCUGGCUCGGGCCUGGAACCGCUGGAACCGCUGGAACCGCUGGAACCGCUGGAACCGCUGGAACCGCUGGAACCGCUGGAACCGCUGGAACCGCUGGAAGCGGACCACCGGCUGCUCCUGUACAACCUGGACGACCACGGCUGACUGUGGCCUUCACGGACAUGCCGAGAAAGCCUCCUAGCAAGGAAUGGCCUGCCUUGCUUGUUCCAGAAGCUUCUGAGAAAGUCUGCUUGACGUGCGGAGAGACCACCAUCGUGGGACCGGUGUCAAAGGUCAAGCUGUCACAGCAUCAAUGAUUGACUUGUUUUGCUCUUGUGGCUCACGUGGGCUUCUUCAGGGAUUAUUGACGCUCCUGUGAAGAUAUUUUUCUUACCUUUAAUGUCUUUCUUUGUCUAACAUUCACUGACUCUGUGACGUCACUCAAAGGUCAUUUCGUUGCGCUUUCACUGGCCGUGGGAAAAGUGAAGCUCUCAUGUGGUCGCUGUCUUUUUUUUUAACUGACUCGCUGCUGCCCUCUGCUGGAUAUAAAUAACAUUGCAGCUAUUUUCUUUCUAAGGGUGUUGGUUUGCUGGAUAAAUGUUUCUAAAAGAGGAGCCUGGCAGUAUUAUAAAGCAACAUUUCACUUUAAAUUUGUACAUUUUAUAGUUUCCUACUGUGAAUCCUGCUUGGAGAGUUUUUACCGUAUUUUCACGCUGUAUCGAUCUUUGCUUUGUAAAGUCAACCUGUCUGCUUUGUGUCGAUAGUAAUCGAUGUCAUUCAUUGUCUACAAAUGUGUCUUAUUCGGGACAGGGAUUUUACUGCUACUCCGGGUGUUUAUUAAUUGAUGUCAUUCAUUGUCUACAAAUGUGUCUUAUUCGGGACAGGGACUUUACUGCUACUCCAGGUGUUUAUUCCCAUCCAUCAUGUGAAAAUAACAACACAUUCUUCAAGAGAAGUUCAAUAUUUUAGCAGAAAUAUAUCUAUUUUGAUGAAAUAUUUGUUACGUGGUUGACAUUUGAUCAACCAGUCCUUUAAAGACGAUAGUGACAAAGGUGUGGAUGGUGUCAAAAACACAAGUCUACGUGUGGAGCUACCGAUUAUGUUUGUAAUGCACUAUGACCUUCUGUGCUGUGUUCUAAUA